CUGGCCUAGCUGUACACAUUAAAUUGGUGAACUUUAUGUUAUAUGAAUUAUAUCUCAAUAAAGAUAUUUCAGGAAACUAAAACCAAAAAGCCACCUUAGGGCUGAUGGGAGAGGGAGACAGAGGACCCACAGUGUGACUCCUAGGGUGCAGCUGCUCACAAAUGUGGGGUCCACACUGCAGCUUUCCUCUGAGGUAAGGGUUGGUGGUUGUACCCUCUCCAGGCUCUAGCACUGGACACGAGUGGAGACAGGUGCUCUUGGACCUGAACUGGCCUUGCCACAGACACAAGUCAGGGUGGUGCGUCCUCAGUGCCCCUGACGGCGAGGCCUCCAUAGGGUUAGGGAUGUGGUGCAAUCACAGUGACUUGUGAUUUGCAGUUCUCUGAAAAGCACUUGCCCCUGUCUUGUGGAGUUACUGCUGUGAGUCCCACUUAAUAGGGAAACCUGAGCCAGUGAUGAGAAGGGGCUUGAGCAAGGUCAGUUGGGUAUUAGUGGAGGUCAAAUGGUCCUCAGCCUGGUGUGCUUUCUUCUUCCUGUCACUCUGUUCUUCAUCUACAAAUUGCUCCCCUCUCUGCUGGGACAGGGAGGCGGAUCACAGCAGGGCCAGCCCUACUAGACUUUGCUUCUUGGCAAGGGUGCAGAUUAUUACAACAUCUGCUUUGCAGGGAUCCCACUGGACAAGGAUGUGGUCACAGAGUUCUCAGGCUGAGAAUCAAUGGAGGUAUGUGGUGCUCAUCUGCUUAUGAGGAAGUGAGGAAGAUGCCACUUUCUUGCCUGGUCCACUGAUGGCUCCAGCAGAUGUGACAUAGACUGGAAGUGAUGGACCCAACCAACAAUCAGAACUAAAGCAUCAGAUGAGCCACCUCAGCCCUGUGAGCCAUGCCAGCCACCCUACCUGUGACCCUACCUGUGGCCCCAGUCAUCCUGGAGCAGAGGGGAUUAAUCUCCAGAAUUGGCAGGAGGUGAACAUGAAGUGCCACCUGAAAUUUAGUGGUGGCUUGAACGAGGAAUGGGAUUGGCACAGGUUAAGAAGAAGCUCCUCUCCUGUCUUCUGAGUGUCUGUUCCUGGAGAUGGAACGGUGGGCCCCCUGCUCUCUCAGAAGCCUCACUUCAACCCAUGGGUGAGGGUGGCCCUCUCCUUGUUUUGUGGAAUUGGACCUUAGGCUUCUGCCAGGUUUUCAGAUUUAGGCGGGGCUCUCUGUUAAACACAGAGAAGUUAUGGCACCCAGAGAACCAGGACCAGGGUGGGCCCAGAAAGACACCAGGGCUCAAAAUGAAGGAGGCAUGCCUCCUAACAUCAUGGAGGUGCUUGUUCAUUAAGGAGGUGUUCUCCCUAAAACUAAGGAGAUAUUUGCCGUUAAAUAAAAAGG